rnacentral:rRNA from 1 species
UGAACGCUGGCGGUAGGCCUAACACAUGCAAGUCGAACGGCAGCACAGUAAGAGCUUGCUCUUACGGGUGGCGAGUGGCGGACGGGUGAGGAAUACAUCGGAAUCUACUUUUUCGUGGGGGAUAACGUAGGGAAACUUACGCUAAUACCGCAUACGACCUACGGGUGAAAGCAGGGGAUCUUCGGACCUUGCGCGAUUGAAUGAGCCGAUGUCGGAUUAGCUAGUUGGCGGGGUAAAGGCCCACCAAGGCGACGAUCCGUAGCUGGUCUGAGAGGAUGAUCAGCCACACUGGAACUGAGACACGGUCCAGACUCCUACGGGAGGCAGCAGUGGGGAAUAUUGGACAAUGGGCGCAAGCCUGAUCCAGCCAUACCGCGUGGGUGAAGAGGGCCUUCGGGUUGUAAAGCCCUUUUGUUGGGAAAGAAAAGCAGCAGGUUAAUACCCCGCUGUUCUGACGGUACCCAAAGAAUAAGCACCGGCUAACUUCGU